UACAGAGGGUGCGAGCGUUGUUCGGAAUUACUGGGCGUAAAGCGCGCGCAGGCGGCUUCCUAAGUCCGUCGGUGAAAGACCGGGGCUCAACCCCGUGUCAGCCAUGGAUACUGGGAGGCUGGAGACAGGUAGAGGCAAGCGGAAUUCCGGGUGUAGCGGUGGAAUGCGUAGAUAUCCGGAAGAACACCGGUGGCGAAGGCGGGUCUCUGGGCCGAUACUGACGCUGAGGAGCGAAAGCUAGGGGAGCAAACGGG
rnacentral:rRNA from 1 species